GCACUGUGAGGGUGAUCUUGCUACAAGAUCUGUCACCCCUCAUUGAUCGCCAGGGUUGAUUCAGCAGUCUGCCUUGCUAGGCAGGUGUCCCCGUCCACCCUCACCACUCCAUGUGUUACUCCCCAAGCUGAGGCUGGGUCAAAGAGAAUGACUUUCCCCAAUGGAGAAGGACCACUCUUGGGUCAAAGGUAUACAAAUAGCUGCACUCCCCUGCUAGAACCUCCAAACAAGCUCUCAAGGUCCAUUUGAACAUAGGAUAGUCAAGCUUCCAAGACUCCAGAGACAACCAAAUAAGGCUCUGCAUGUGGCAGUCCGCCUUUAUUU
ensembl:misc_RNA 7SK 7SK RNA